GGAAUCUUGCGCAAUGGGCGAAAGCCUGACGCAGCGACGCCGCGUGCGGGAGGAAGCUUUUCGGAGUGUAAACCGCUGUCGGGUGGGACGAAGGUCCCGGGGAGGAAAUGCCCUGGGGCGGACGGUACCACCAGAGGAAGCACCGGCUAACUUCGGGCCCGCAGCCGCGGGAAUACGAAGGGUGCGAGCGUUGUUCGGAAUUAUUGGGCGUAAAGCGCACGUUGGCGGCGUGGUCAGUCUCACUGUGAAAGCCCGGGGCUCAACCCCGGGAGGCCAGGGGAUACUGCCAUGCUGGAGACAAGCAGAGGUGGGUAGAAUUCCGGGUGUAGCGGUGGAAUGCGUAGAGAUCCGGAGGAAUACCAGAGGCGAAGGCGGCCCACUGGGCUUGAUCUGACGCUGAGGUGCGAAAGCGUGGGGAGCGAAC
rnacentral:rRNA from 1 species